UGCGGCUCCGGCAGGAGGUGGUGGUUAGUGUUGCCGCCGCUGCAGCCUUCCCCGGAAAGACCUGGGAAGUGUCACAAGACCAUGUGAGGACACAGUGAGAAGACAGUCAUCCGUAAGCCAGAAAGAGGGUCCUCACCAGAAGUUGAGUCCUUGAUCUUGGACUUCCAGCCUUCAGAACUAAUGUGGAAGAUGACCCUCAAGGGGACUGGAGGAGUCACAUGUUGAGAACGGCACAAGGAAGGAAGGCCCUGAGACACUAAAUCACUGCUUAUACGAGAGUUGCCCACCAAGAACAACAGUUCUGAACUGUUUUAUGAGUAAGAAAUAUUCUUCAUUGUGUUAAGCCACAGAAAUUUCAGUUCAUUUAGUAUAGUAGAAGGUGUUUUUACUAAUUAAUAUAGACAUAUAUGAAGAGAGUUAUACAUAAUUUAUCUUCAUACAGUAAAUAUUUUGAUCUUUUGCCUGUGUGGAAAAAUGUGAAAUUUUCUUCUCUGAGUAUAUACUGACAUCCAUGUUCCCUCAUGCUGAGUUACUGAUCUACUCCUCUCAAUUCCUGCUUUGAGUUAACAAUUCCAAGAACAGGACACAGUGGACUGAAUUUGGUCCACUCUGUCUCUGCCUCUCUCUCACAUGUGUACAUGUACACACACACACACACACACACACACACACACACACACACACACACACGUUUUCUGAAAGACACCUGCCUGAUUGGUCACCAGACUUGCAAUUGACACUCUGCCAUUUUUGUUUCUUUGCCAUUUAAACUCCCUCUUAGUCCCAUUUUCUAAGAAACACUCCUUUUGGUUAUUAUUCCCAUUGUAGUGUCCUGAAUAGCAUAGCCAUCUGUGCUCUUGAGGCCUGGAAAACUUUUGAAACUUAAACACCUGUAAUAAAUAAGACACACAUUUUUUUCUAGCUUAUUUUUUGUCUUUCAAUUUUGUCUGUUGUAUAUUCUGUGUGUGUGUGUGUGUGUAUGUGUGUGUGUGUGUGUAUGUCUUUUUGCUUUUCUUGAGCC